rnacentral:rRNA from 1 species
UAUGGGGAUCUGCCCGAUAGAGGAGGAUAACUACUGGAAACGGUGGCUAAUACCGCAUAAUGUCUACGGACCAAAGCAGGGGCUCUUCGGACCUUGCACUAUCGGAUGAACCCAUAUGGGAUUAGCUAGUAGGUGGGGUAAAGGCUCACCUAGGCGACGAUCUCUAGCUGGUCUGAGAGGAUGAUCAGCCACACUGGGACUGAGACACGGCCCAG